GACAGAGGGUGCAAACGUUGCUCGGAAUCACUGGGCGUAAAGGGCGUGUAGGCGGGACAGUAAGUCGGGCGUGAAAUCCCUGGGCUCAACCCAGGAACUGCACUCGAAACUACUAUUCUUGAGUGUCGGAGAGGAAAGCGGAAUUCCUGGUGUAGAGGUGAAAUUCGUAGAUAUCAGGAGGAACACCAGUGGCGAAGGCGGCUUUCUGGACGAUAACCGACGC
rnacentral:rRNA from 1 species